UUGUAAUUUGCAGAGGAUGCUUUUGGCGCGGUGCCUUCUGAGUUCCCUGGAACGGGACGCCGGAGAGGGUGAGAGCCCCGUACAGUUGGACACCAAGCCUUUGUAAAGCUCCUUCNACGAGUCGAGUAGUUUGGGAAUGCUGCUCAAAAUGGGAGGUAAAUGCCUUCUAAAGCUAAAUACCGGCCAGAGACCGAUAGCGCACAAGUAGAGUGAUCGAAAGAUGAAAAGCACUUUGAAAAGAGGGUUAAACAGUACGUGAAAUUGUUGAAAGGGAAGCGCUCGUGACCAGACUUGCGCCCGGCGGAUCAUCCGGCCUUCUGGCCGGUGCACUCCGCCGGGCUCAGGCCAGCAUCGGUUUUCCUGGGGGGACAAAAGUGGCGGGAACGUAGCUCCUCCGGGAGUGUUAUAGCCCGCCGCAGCAUACCCCCGGGGGGACCGAGGACCGCGCUUCGGCAAGGAUGCUGGCGUAAUGGUCACCAGCGACCCGUCU
rnacentral:rRNA from 1 species